rnacentral:rRNA from 1 species
GACGAACGCUGGCGGCGUGCCUAAUACAUGCAAGUCGAGCGGACUGAUUAAGAGCUUGCUCUUAUGACGUUAGCGGCGGACGGGUGAGUAACACGUGGGCAACCUGCCCUGUAGAUCGGGAUAACACCGAGAAAUCGGUGCUAAUACCGGGUAAUAUCUGAGAUCACAUGAUCUUAGGUUAAAAGAUGGCUCCGGCUAUCACUACAGGAUGGGCCCGCGGCGCAUUAGCUAGUUGGUAAGGUAAUGGCUUACCAAGGCGACGAUGCGUAGCCGACCUGAGAGGGUGAUCGGCCACACUGGGACUGAGACACGGCCCCGACUCCUACGGGAGGCAGCAGUAGGGAAUCUUCCGCAAUGGGCGAAAGUCUGACGGAGCAACGCCGCGUGAGUGAUGAAGGGUUUCGGCUCGUAAAGCUCUGUUGUUAGGGAAGAAACAGUACCGAACGAACUAGGUCGGUACCUUGACGGUACCUAACCAGAAAGCCACGGCUAACUACGUG